GAUGAACGCUGGCGGCGUGCCUAAUACAUGCAAGUCGAACGAAGAUCUAGCUUGCUAGAUCUUAGUGGCGAACGGGUGAGUAAUACAUAAAUAAUCUGCCCAUAUGACUGGGAUAACUAUUGGAAACGAUAGCUAAUACCGGAUAGGUUGAUCGGAGGCAUCUCUGAUGAAUUAAAGUAGGAUUUCUACACAAAUGGAUGAGUUUAUGGCGCAUUAGUUAGUUGGUGGGGUAACGGCCUACCAAGACGAUGAUGCGUAGCCGACCUGAGAGGGUGACCGGCCACACUGGGACUGAGACACGGCCCAGACUCCUACGGGAGGCAGCAGUAGGGAAUUUUCGGCAAUGGGCGCAAGCCUGACCGAGCAACGCCGCGUGAGUGAUUAAGGCCUUCGGGUUGUAAAGCUCUGUUGUAAGGGAAGAACAUUCAGGAUAGGAAAUGAUCUUGAACCGACGGUACCUUACCAGAAAGCCACGGCUAACUACGUGCCAGCAGCCGCGGUAA
rnacentral:rRNA from 1 species